AUAGCUGGUUACCACAGACAGAAUUGUUAGUUCAACUUUAAAUUUACCUAAAAAAAAUAAAAUUUUAAUGUAAAUUUAAAAUAUAGUCUAAGAAGGUACAGCUUCUUAGAAUCAGGAUACAACCUUUAUUAGAGAGUAUAUACUAAUAUCACCAUAGUUGGCUUAAAAGCAGCCACCAAUUGAGAAAGCGUUCCAGCUCAACAAACAAUAUAACUUAAUCCCAACCAUACUACAUCAACUCCUAAUUAUACCCCCUGGGUCAUUCUAUUUAAGUAUAGAAGCAAUAAUGCUAGUAUGAGUAACAAGAACCAUUUUCUCCCCGCAUAAGCUUAUAUCAGGAACGGAUAGACCACUGAUAGUUAACAAUCUGAUAAUAUCAACCCAAAAAUGAAAUACUUAUCCACCCCAUUGUUAACCCAACACAGGUAUGCAUUCAAGGAAAGAUUAAAAGGAGUAAAAGGAACUCGGCAAACACAAACCCCGCCUGUUUACCAAAAACAUCACCUCCAGCAUUUCUAGUAUUGGAGGCACUGCCUGCCCGGUGACACUUGUUUAACGGCCGCGGUAUCCUGACCGUGCAAAGGUAGCAUAAUCAUUUGUUCUCUAAAUAGGGACUUGUAUGAAUGGCCACACGAGGGUUUAACUGUCUCUUACUCCCAAUCAGUGAAAUUGACCUUCCCGUGAAGAGGCGGGAAUACCACAAUAAGACGAGAAGACCCUAUGGAGCUUUAAUUAACUAACCCAAACUUAUGGAUACUAGAUACCUACAAGGCAUAACAUAACACCAUUAUUAUGGGUUAGCAAUUUAGGUUGGGGUGACCUCGGAAUAUAAAAAAACUCCCGAGUGAUUAAAAUUUAGACCCACAAGUCAAAAUACAACAUCACUUAUUGAUCCAAUAAUUUUUGAUCAACGGAACAAGUUACCCUAGGGAUAACAGCGCAAUCCUAUUCAAGAGUCCAUAUCGACAAUAGGGUUUACGACCUCGAUGUUGGAUCAGGACAUCCUAAUGGUGCAGCAGCUAUUAAGGGUUCGUUGUCACGAUUAAAGUCCUACGUGAUCUGA
rnacentral:rRNA from 1 species